rnacentral:lncRNA from 1 species
AUGAGCGGCAGGGGCGAGCAGAACAAUGGCGCUCCCGUUCUGCUUCCCGAAGAGGAAGUGCUCACGGAUCAGGGAAAUUUUCACAGGUCUAGAUCCAGAAGAAGUUCUAGAAGGCAUUAUACAAGGUCACGAUCACGAUCUCGCUCGCAUAGACGAUCCGGAGCAGGUCUUACAGCUGAGAUUAUGGCAGGCGCCACAGCCACAGCCAUUCUCCCAUGUCUACUCGAAGGCGUCAUGUUGGGAAUCGGGCAAAUCCUGACCCCAACUGUUGUCUUGGCGUGUUUGGGUUGAGCUUAUACAGCACAGAAAGAGACCUAAGAGAAGUGUUCUCUAACUAUGGCCCCAUUGCUGAUGUGUCUAUUGUAUAUGACCAGCAAUCUAGACGUUCAAGAGGAUUUGCCUUUGUAUAUUUUGAAAAUGUGGAUGAUGCCAAGGAAGCUAAAGAACAUGCCAGUGGAAUGGAGCUUGAUGGGCGACGAAUUAGAGUCGAUUUCUCUAUAACAAAAAGGCCCCAUACCCCAACACCAGGAAUUUAUAUGGGGAGAGCCAUUUAUGGCAGCUCACACCGCCGAGACUAUUAUGACAGAGGAUACGAUCAGGGGUAUGAUGGCGGGGGCUAUUACAGCAGAUCACACAGAGGAGGAGGUGGGGGAGGUGGAUGGAGAGCAGCUCAAGACAGGGAUGAGACUUACAGAAGACGGUCACCUUCUCCUUACUACAGUCGUGGAGGAUACAGGUCACAUUCUCCAUCACGAUCCUACUCACCUCGUCGCUACUAA